rnacentral:rRNA from 1 species
CCUACGGGGGGCAGCAGUGAGGAAUAUUGGUCAAUGGGCGGAAGCCUGAACCAGCCAAGUAGCGUGCAGGAUGACGGCCCUACGGGUUGUAAACUGCUUUUAUACGGGAAGAACGCGCCUUACGUGUAGGGCUUUGCAUGUACCGUAUGAAUAAGGACCGGCUAAUUCCGUGCCAGCAGCCGCGGUAAUACGGAAGGUCCGGGCGUUAUCCGGAUUUAUGGGGUUGAACGGGAGCGUAGGCCGCAUGUCAAGCGUGCUGUGAAAUGUCCGGGCUCAACCCGGGCCUUGCAGCGCGAACGGGCGUGCUUGCGUCCGCGGCCAGCAGGCGGACUUCGUCGUGUAGCGGUGAAAUGCUUCGCUAUGAC